rnacentral:rRNA from 1 species
CAGCCGCCGCGGUAAUACGGAGGGUGCAAGCGUUACUCGGAAUCACUGGGCGUAAAGGACGCGUAGGCGGAUUAUCAAGUCUCUUGUGAAAUCUAACGGCUUAACCGUUAAACUGCUUGGGAAACUGAUAAUCUAGAGUAAGGGAGAGGCAGAUGGGAUUCUUGGUGUAGGGGUAAAAUCCGUAGAGAUCAAGAAGAAUACCCAUUGCGAAAGCGAUCUGCUGGUACUUAACUGACGCUAAUGCGUGAAAGCGUGGGGAGCAAACAGGAUUAGAUACCCGCGUAGUCCCUGUCUCUUAUAC